GCUGCCCUGGGGUUCAGUCCUGUGUGGUGCCAGGGGCCCCUCCCAGACUGGCCAAAGGCAGCCUGCACACCCCAGGAGGAGGGGACCCGAGGGUGGGCGGGCAGUUCAGAAGAGAUGGUACUUUCUGAGAACUUUGAGCUUCAUGCUUUGUGUUCUUACUCGAUUCUCACAACCAGGCCAGAGACUGAUGCCAUCAUAACCCUCACAGUUCUGAAAACUGAGGCUCAGGGGAGGUGAGGCAACCUGGUGUCACCUGAUUAACAACUGGCAGUGCUUUACUUUUCAAACAAGAAUGGCCUGUCUGUCCUUUGCUUUCCUGUCUCUGGCCUCUGCAUAGGCUACGGCCUCGGUCUCGAGGGCCCGGCUCCUCUUACCUCCACCUGAGAAGGAGACACUCAUCAGCACUCACCACCUGGUUACAGGGCUGCUGGGAAGGCUGGUGGUGUCUGCGUGUUCAGCUGGCAUCAUCAUGCCCUCCUGGUGGCAUUUGUCCAGUGUGGACCCUCUUUCUAGGGAGGGCUUGUCCUCUCUCCUUACGAGGCUGUGAGCUACUCUGGGAUUGGACCAUAUCCCAUCUGACUCUGUCAAUCCAUGCACCUGCGUGCUGGCACUGACCUUCGUCCUUCUAUCCACCCAACUGUGCUCAGCCAUCCGUUUGUCCACCCAUCCACCCGUUGUCCGUCCAUCCCAUCCAUCCAUCCUCCAACCUUACGUCUCUCUUUCCAUGUUUUAGUAUCUAACGGGUGCACACUUUCAGUUUAGCAAGAUGAAAAGAGCUCUGGAGACGGACAGCAAUGAUGGUAGCACAACAGUGUGACUGUAUUUCAUGCCACCGAACUACACUCAUAAAAAUGGUUACAGUGACACAUUUCAUGUCAUGUAUAUUUUGCCACAAUUAAAAAUAAGUUGAUUAACUUAGAAAACUAUCUGGGGAGGCUGCCGUCAUAUCCUUUCUGCAGUACACCACGCCCUCCCCACCUGCUCCAAACCAAAAUCUUGGUGGAGCUCUACCUGGAGUCCUGCCUCCCCCCAACCUCACCAGCAGGUGACUCCAGCCCUCUCCAGCUCUCCCGCCUCCGGAUUCGCCAGGUGCUCACACUCACUAUUCACAAGAUCAUGAUGACAACGCCAGCCACCACACAGUGAGAGUGUCCUUUGGUUCAGUGUUCUCUAACUGCUUUGUGUGGACUGCUGCAUGCACCCCCCCCCCCCAUGUGAGCUACGUACUGCCAUUUAUCUCAUUCUAAAGCUGAGGAAGCUGAGGCCCGGGCAAGUUCAGUGACUUGCCUGAGCUCCCUCAGCUAGUAGGGUAAAGGGGCAGGACUCUGGCCCAGCACUGAUGACAGGUGUCCUUAAAGCUACUAGGUGCUGCUCCCCACAAAUCACAUCUACUUAUUUACCGUCCCCCCCCCACCUCCACCAGGCUUUGGGCUCAAGGUGGGGGCUCUGUAUUCAUGCUCACAUUACCUGCUCCUGACCCAGCAUGGAUGCCAAGGUGGGGCUUUGUAACUCAGCGCCAGGGCCUGAGUGAGGGGCGGUCCCCUCCAGGGCAAAAUUGCAGGGGGUAUCAAAAAUCUCAAUGUAAGGGAAAAAAAAAAGUCAGUGUAAGGGAAAUUCUAUUUUAAUGCAAUCUUUUAAGAUACCAAAUUUAAUGCAAAAAAAAAAAAACCUAUGAUGAGCAAAAUAUCAAAAUUUUAAAUAAAGGUAAGAUCUAAUCCUGCAGGAUCCUGCCUCACCUGCUUACCUUAAUCCCAAUGCUUUUUUCCUAACUGCCUGGGGUGCCCAGUUAAGAUGGAACUGUGGCCGGGCAUGUUUUGGGGAAAUCACUGACCCCGUUUGUUCUAAUGAGUAGUCCUUCCCUUCUGCUGUGAACCGUGUGGCGGGAACCACGUGCAGUGAGGCAGUGGAGCAAGGACCCUGAAGUCAGUCUUGGCUUGGCAGCCUAUUUCCGGGCCUCCGUAGCUGUGUGACCUCGGGCAAAUCGCUUAACCUUUCUGUGCCUCAAUUUCCUCCCCCGUAAAUGGUGUGUCUAAUGGUACCAACUUUGUAGUGCAGCCCCGAAAAUUAAAUGAGAUAAAGCGUGUGAAGAGCUCAACACAGCCACUGACCCUUAGCUAACGACAAAGGGCAGGCUCUGGUGAAAAUGAUCCAACCGAUUCCUCCACGCAGGAAAAGGAAAAGUAAGUGUAACGUGAAUCUGUGUCAGCAGGCAUCAGAAAGCCAUCAGCUUUUGUUUUUCCUUUUCCUUUUUCCCCAUUGACAUCCCCUGACCACGCGGGGAGCUGGCAGGUGCAGGGGCCAGCGGAGACGCACGGCCAGGCUGCAGGGGGGACAGACGGGCAGACGGGAAAGCGGCGCCCAGCUGCCUCCCUGCCUCGGCCUUGCGUGUUUCUACUAUGACUUCGGCAGGAGGCGAUCCCGGUCCUCCAGAGGCCUGCUCCGUCCACGUUGCUGUGCCCUGGGUGGAGAAGUGCUGGGGAGAACGAACUGUUUGAGCCCUCCGUGCUGCCAGGAGCGCACAAGAGUGAGAUGGUGGUGGCCGGUGGGCAGCACACCUGGAAGGGCCGCCUGUGCAUCCCGGCCUAGCGGUGGCCACAGAACGUGUUGCCCGUUUUAACGUCUGUGCACUAAACCGUCAGAUGUGAGCGCGUAGACGAGAUUUUAUUUUUGAUGAGAGAGAGAGAGAGAGAGAAGCAGACUCCACAGUGAGGAGGGAACCUGACACCCGGCUGAUCCCAGGACCCCGGGAUCAUGACCUGAGCAGAGGGCAGACACCUAACCGACUGAGCCACCCAGGCGCCCUUCCAUCAGGUUAAUUAAAUGUGCCGGUUCGACUUACCCUCAGUACAGCAACAGAGAAUGACCUGGCCUGACACGUCCGUCAUGCUGAGUGAGGGGUCCCUGGGGAGCCCGGCUCUGAUGGCCUGGCACUGAAUGAAGCUCGGAUUUGUUUUGUCCCAAAGCACCUGUGUUACUUUCCUGUGGCUGCUGUAGCCAAGUUACUGCAACCUGGGUGGCUGAAAACCACAGACGUUCAUUUCCUCCUAGUUCUGGAAGCCAGAAGUCCAAAAUCAAGACGUGGGCGAGAGCACGCUCCUUCCAGAGGCUCCGGGGGAGAUCCCAUCCUUGCCUCCUCCAGCUCCGGUGCAGCCAGCGCUCCAGCCUCUGCUCCCGGCCUCACGGCAACUUCUCUUGGUCUCAAUCUCCCUCAGCUUUUCUCUGAAGGACACCUGUCACUGGGUUUAGGGCCCACCCGGGCCCUCUAGAUUAUCUCCUCAUUUUCAGACCCUUUAAUGUAAUCUGGUCUGCAAGACCCUUUUUCCAAGUAAGGUUAUAUCACAGGUUUGGGGGAUUUGAUGUGGAUAACUUUCAGUCUAUUAUCUGUCCUUGAACAUGGACCCAUCCUGUCCUUCCACAGCUAUUAUUAAUAUUUCAUCUUCACGGUGACCCUUCAAGGAGUACAUUUUACCCCCUGGGGCACUGAGGGUCAGAGAGGUUGUGUUAACUCUCUGGGAAGAGUCAGCACCGCCAAGGUCCAGAUUUGGUCUCUGGCUUUAAAGCUCUUGCUCUCACCCUUAAACUUGCUCCAUGAACCCCCCCCCACCCACCCACCCAUCUGGGCUCAGAGAUGCCCGUACUCUGAGGCGCAGUUGGUGGCCAGCGGGCAUCCUAUCUGGGUGACAUGAGUCGUCAGCAGGCUUUUCAGGGGAAUAACUGGGGAUGCUGGGCAGAGCAAGCCUCAGGAUCAGCAGCCGCCUCUGGGGGCGGAGGGGAGAGCAGGCCACCUCGUCCCGGGGACUUUGCCAUGAGAGUCAGGCGCAGGCCAAGCACAGCCUUUCAAUCAAGGUGAUGCAGGUGAGCCCCUCCUCCCCUCCCCCAGCCACCUGCUUCCCCAGGGCUACUUCCAAAGCUUCCCCUCCCCCCAGCUCUCAGGUAGGAAAAUAUGUGCCAGCAUGCUGCGGGGUGGGAGGGGAAGGAUGACAGGAAGGGGCUUGUCUGGCCCUGGUCAGUGUUUGAGGGGGUGGAUGGCACCGGUUCCGGGGCACAGGCGUGAGCCCCACCCUCCACCCUUUGUAGUAAAAGUUCCACCAAACACCACAGAGAUGAAUGGGAGCCACUGGGUAUUACAUCAUUUAAUAAUCUGAAUAAAAUUCGU